UUCAGUUAAAAUGUGGUUGAAACCAUUAUUUAUAGGUUAUUUCUUUAGCUAGAAAAGAGGAAUUUGAUACAAAAGAUGCUGUAAAAAGAAUGAGUGCUUUUUUAACCAAACUCUGUUGUCGUCUUAGUUGAACUCGUGGUUGGCUAUUAUAAAAUAUAACCGUGAAUUGUAUUUAAAAAGAAUUGCAUUGUUGACGUGUUUUUUAAAGAGCAAUACAUAGGAAUCCGACGACGAGUACCGUCAGUGAAUACAAGUUUCAAAAAGAAGUUUUACGUUUUUGCGUGGAGCACUAAAUCAAAAUAUUAAACGUCAAGUUAGAAUGAUAUGUUGAAAAAAGAAACAGCAUGUGAAAACCUGACGACGACCCACAACAACUUUUUUUUUAUUAUUUAUUUUUUUUAUUUUUUUUAUUUAAAUGCAGCCUAUAUGAUAGCAUAUAUCUAAAACUAUCUGAGUAAUA